AAUUUGCCAUAAUCCUGCACUAUGGUUGCAGCGAUAAACAUGAGUAACUGAAAAUGCUUCAUUUCUAUAUUUUGGUGAUGUAAGUAUUGCAUGUUUACUACUAUAUUUUCCAUGGUUUACUUUUUUUUUUUAAUUCAUUUCACAGGCUUUGCGACUUUUCGUGGGUGAGCCUGUGUGGACUCCACACAACCGACCUAAUGAUCAUCUUCCUUCCAGGAAGGAGUAUCUUGAUUCAUUGAUGAACAAGGCAGCUGCUGUUGAGGCUCGCUAAGGUCAUUCGAGAACUGCAUCACUUAACACCAGUCCUAACUACCUACCUUAAUACCGUCUUUGAUUACCGUUUGCAUCUUAUAUAUAAACCUCAUUUCAAGGUGCCCGUCUUGUUUUGAUAUGAUACCUUUGUAGCUGCGUCUUAAAAUCCAUAAAAUCGAUUGCUUGGUGCCAUACUAAAUGCUUGAACAUGUGGCAUUAGUUUAUCCUCAGUGCCUACGGCCUGCUAUUGUACUUGUAUGACUAAAGAACUAAGAAGGUGCUUUGCUUAAAAUCUCAACAAUUUUCAGUUAUCUACCGCCUGGUUGCUUAUAUAAUAAUUUAUUUGGCGAUUCUAUC